rnacentral:rRNA from 1 species
UACGAAUGGUGCAAGCGUUAUCCGGAUUUACUGGGUGUAAAGGGAGCGUAGGCGGCGCGUUAAGUCUGAUGUGAAAACCCGAGGCUCAACCACGGGAGUGCAUUGGAAACUGGCGUGCUGGAGUGCCGGAGAGGUAAGCGGAAUUCCUAGUGUAGCGGUGAAAUGCGUAGAUAUUAGGAGGAACACCAGUGGCGAAGGCGGCUUACUGGACGGCAACUGACGCUGAGGCUCGAAAGCGUGGGGAGCAAACAGG